GUGUGCAUUAAUGUGAGUUUGUGAGUUGUAUAAAGAAGCAACUGUGAGAUAACAUCUGAACACAAGAUUACAAGAACAGUUUAGAAGUUUUUUUCUUUCUUAAAAUUCUCUCUUUUAAGUAGUCAAAGUUUGGAACUUGAACACCAUCAAAUUCAUCAAUUUUACUCCAACUUGUCUAAAAAUCUAAUCCUUUUAUCUCUAUAAUAAACCAAAUCUUGAUAUAUCAAUAACUCGAAUUCAUAUAUAUAUAUACAUUAAUUGAUCUCUCUGUUACAGACAAUUGUCAAAAAAAUAGAAAACAUGAAGGUUAGUUUUCUGAUCCUUUGUAUUUAGUUCGAUCAUAUAUAUGAUAUAUAAAGGUUCCAUUGAAUUUUUUUUCCUCAGAUGAUUUCUGAAGUGUUUUCUUCUGGCUUUUGUUUUCAGUUCUUUGGGUGGAUGCAGAACAAGCUUAAUGGGGAUCAUAACAGAACAAGCACUUCCUCUGCUUCUUCUCAUCAUGUGAAGCAAGAGCCAAGAGAGGAGUUUAGAGACUGGCCUCACGCGUUGCUCGCUAUUGGAACGUUUGGUACAACAAGCAAUAGUGUGAGCGAAAACGAGAGCAAGAAUGUUCAUGAAGAGAUUGAAGCGGAGAAGAAGUGUACCGCAAAAUCCGAGCAAGAAGAAGAGCCUUCUUCUUCUGUCGAUCUUGAAGAUUUCACUCCUGAGGAGGUUGGAAAGUUGCAGAAGGAGUUGAUGAAGCUCUUGUCAAGAACUAAGAAAAGGAAGUCUGAUGUGAAUAGAGAGCUCAUGAAAAAUCUUCCUUUGGAUAGAUUCUUGAACUGUCCAUCGAGUUUAGAGGUCGAUAGGCGAAUCAGCAAUGCACUUAGCGCUGUUGUGGAUUCGUCUGAGGAGAAUAAGGAGGAAGAUAUGGAGCGAACGAUUAGCGUUAUUCUAGGUAGAUGCAAAGAGAUAUCAAUAGAGAGUAAGAAGAAUAAGAAGAAGAGAGACAUAAGCAAGACCUCUGUCUCAUAUCUUUUCAAGAAGAUUUUCGUCUGCGCAAAUGGGAUUUCUACAGCCCCAAGCCCUAGCCUGAGAGACACGCUUCAAGAAUCAAGAAUGGAGAAGUUGUUGAAGAUGAUGCUCCAUAAGAAGAUUAAUGCUCAAGCCUCCUCGAAACCAACAUCAUCGACAACAAAGAGAUACUUGGAAGACAAGAAACAGCUCUCAUUGAAGAGUGAAGAAGAAGAAGAAACUAGCGAAAGAAGAAGUAGUGGCGACGGAUAUAAAUGGGUCAAAACAGAUUCUGAUUGUGAGUUUUCAUCAGAUCCUUAUUAUUUUAGUAAAACUCAAAAACAAACAACUAAUUCGAUCUUCUUUUGAUUACAGUCAUAGUUCUUGAGAUCUGAUCAAACCUUCAUCAUUCAAGCUCUUGCAAAAUCUUUUCCAAGUACAGGAAUCAAAUCUUCUCGAGAAAAUUUAAAGAAAUAAUGUAAUGAGUCUCCCAUUUCCGAGGAAAUUUUUGGUGCAUAUGCAAGUUAAGCCAUGGAGUUUCAGAAUGUUUGUUAACUUCUUUUUUGCAUGAUUUGAUCUGUGGGAAUUUGGGUCCAUAGAACCAAAACAUGUUCUUGAAAUUGCGUACAUGUGUAGAUAUGUAUAUGAAAUGUCAGAGUGUAUACAUACAUACAUGUGUGCGUGUGAUUUGUGUAAUUUUAAGGUGGAUAACCUCAGCUUAUAAAGAUUCUUCUUUGUUA